UGAAAGCAUCUAAGCGGGAAACUCGCCUUGAGAUAAGAUUUCCCUAGGCUUUAAGCCUUCUAAAGAGUCGUUCGAGACCAGGACGUUGAUAGGUUGGGUGUGGAAGCGCAGUAAUGCGUUAAGCUAACCAAUACUAAUUGCUCGUGAGGCUUGAUCCUAUAACAUUA
rnacentral:rRNA from 1 species